GGGUGUAGAUAGGCUGGUGGUGGUGAUGAUGAUUAUGAUGAUGAUAAACCUGCCCUCCCACCUUCCUCCACUCCCCACGCCCUCCUCUCCCCCCCUCCUUAGCUAUGGGACAACGUGGCGAUUAGCGCACACUUGGACGCUCAACUGCUCUUGGUCUUCAGGGCGAAUUCAUCAUCAUCAUCAUCAUCAUCAUCAUCAUCAUCAUCAUAA
rnacentral:pre_miRNA from 1 species